UCGAGGAUCUUCGGCAAUGGGGGCAACCCUGACCGAGCGACGCCGCGUGGGCGACGAAGGCCUUCGGGUUGUAAAGCCCUGUCGAGGGGGAGGAAACCGCGCAAGCGGGUGACCCAUCCCUGGAGGAAGCACGGGCUAAGUUCGUGCCAGCAGCCGCGGUAAGACGAACCGUGCGAACGUUGUUCGGAAUCACUGGGCUUAAAGGGCGCGUAGGCGGGCUGCCGCGUCCGGGGUGAAAUCCUCCGGCUCAACCGGAGAACGGCCUCGGAUACGGGCGGCCUCGAGUCGGGUAGGGGCGGGCGGAACUCUGGGUGGAGCGGUGAAAUGCGUUGAUAUCCAGAGGAACUCCGGUGGCGAAGGCGGCCCGCUGGACCCGGUCUGACGCUGAGGCGCGAAAGCCAGGGGAGCGAACG
rnacentral:rRNA from 1 species